rnacentral:rRNA from 1 species
GACGAACGCUGGCGGCGUGCCUGACACAUGCAAGUCGGACGGUUCUUGCACCUUCAAGCUUGCUUGUUGGUUCAAGGAUAGUGGCGGACGGGUGAGUAACGCGUGAACACCUACCCAUUGGAGGGGUACAACCCGUCGAAAGGCGGGCUAAUACCGCGUAAGCCGUGAGGUGAAAGGCUGCUCUUUGGUGGCUGCCGAUGGAUGGGUUCGCGUCCUAUCAGCUGGUUGGUGGGGUAACGGCCUACCAAGGCUAAAGACGGGUAGCCGGUCUGAGAGGAUGGCCGGCCACACUGGAACUGAGACACGGUCCAGACUCCUACGGGAGGCAGCAGUGGGGAAUCUUGGGCAAUGGGGGAGACCCUGACCCAGCGACGCCGCGUGAGGGAUGAAGGUUUUCGGAUCGUAAAACCUCUGUUGUACGGGAAGAAGGAUGUGACGGUACCGUACGAGUAAAGCCCCGGCAAAACUACGUG